CCUAUAGGCCCCAAUUAUAACUCUGGUCCUGGUCUAGUUAUAUUCUCCCUAUAGGCCCCAACUAUACCUCUGGUCCUGGUCCAGUUAUAUCCUCCCUAUAGGCCCUAACUGUAACUCUGGUCUAGUUAUAUCCUCCCUAUAGGCCCUAACUGUAACUCUGGUCUAGUUAUAUCCUCCCUAUAGGCCCUAACUAUAACUCUGGUCCUGGUCUAGUUAUAUUCUCCCUGUAGACCCUAACUAUAACUCUGGUCCUGGUCUAGUUAUAUACUCCCUAUAGGCCCUAACUAUAACUCUGGUCUAGUUAUAUUCUCCCUAUAGACCCUAACUAUAUCUCUGGUCUAGUUAUAUCCUCCCUAUAGGCCCUAACUAUAACUCUGGUCCUGGUGUAGUUAUAUCCUCCCUAUAGGCCCUAACUAUAACUCUGGUCCUGGUCUAGUUAUAUUCUCACCAUUGGCCCUAACUAUAUCUCUGGUCCUGGUCUAGUUUUAUUCUCCCUGUAGACCCUAACUAUAACUCUGGUCUAGUUAUAUUCUCCCUAUAGGCCCUAACUAUAACUCUGGCCCUGGUCUAGUUAUAUUCUCCCUAUAGGCCCUAUCUAUAACUCUGGUCUAUUUAUAUUCUCCCUAUAGACCCUAACUAUAACUCUGGUCCUGGUCUAGUUAUAUUCUCCCUAUAGGCCCUGACUAUAACUCUGGUCCUGGUCUCAUUAUAUUCUCCGUAUAGGCCCUAACUAUACCUCUGGUCCUGGUCUAGUUAUAUCCUCCAUAUAGGCCCCAACUAUAUCUCUGGUGUAGUUAUAUCCUCUCUAUAGGCCCCAACUAUAACUUUGGUCCCGGUCUAGUUAUAUCCUCCCCAUAGGCCCCAACUAUAACUCUGGUC
rnacentral:lncRNA from 1 species